AUGGUGAUUUCUAACGUGUCCCCUUCUUCCUCUUCGCCUCACCACAAAUGGUCGGUGGCCUCCUCAUCCUCGCAACAGCCUUCGACCAAAGUCAAGCUCUACCAUCCUCUAUUCCUCUCUUCGUUGGGAGAGGAACCCUUCUCCUCUUUUUCUCUGAUCAACGCACAAGAGGGGUGAGGAUGUGAGUCAUCUGGAUCCAAGACGCCAUUCCACUCAUUGCCGGAGUAGUCACCUUCUUCUUCUCCCAAUUGGGAGAAGUUCCAGCCGAACGCCCACUUCAUCUCCUUCCUCUCUCGAUUGGGAGAGGAAGAGGCCAAUUUCUCGACACCACAGCCACCUCUGCUAAUUGGGAGAGGAGGCGAGGGAUCUCGAAUCUGAGGUUUCUCCCAUCUCCCUUGGAAGCUCGUAGCCAAUCAUCCACUUCAGCCUUCUCCACCUUUCUUCUUAAAAUUUGAAGAGGAGACUUCUACCACCACAAUCUUGCCAUACACUCUAGAUUGGGAGUCUCUUCGUCGUCAUCUCCGACUUUUUCGAAUAGCAAACCUUCUCCACAAGUUGAUCGAUCCUGAUCGGGGCAGAUUCUGUUCUUCCAAAGUUUUGCUGGAGGAUUCUUUGGUUAGCUUGCUGCAGAAUCUAGAUGACAUGGAUAUCACAUUCAAAACUCUCAAAGUGGCACAUUUGUCCCAAAAAUAUUUCUUUUUAAUGAAGUUUACUUCAUUCUCCCAAGACAAUUCCACACCAUCGGAAGGCAUGUGAAUAAUCACUAAAAGCAUCCGUCCAAUAAAGUCUGACAACUGGUGAAGCAACUUGUUAGGAAGUGGAAAGAUCUUGUGGACGAGUGGGCAAAAUCUAAUUCCUCAAAGAACACUACUUCGCCAUCAAUCAUCUGUAAACUUUUAGUCCUAUGCAAAUCAAUCAAGAAUAAUGGGAAAUAAAGUGAAAAAAUUCUCUUUGUUCACAUGAUUCUCUCAAUGUAUCUAAUUACAUGGAAGGAACUUUCAAAAUGGCAACCAAAUUCCAGAGUUGAAACCGUUGAGCUCAAACAAGAUUGUUCCAUGAGAAUUAUCUCGAAGCACAGAAUGGUGCUACUUUUCUUCCUCAUUUCUUCUCCUUGUUUUGCUUUGAUGUCAAAUGUUUUUUGUUGUUUAAAUUGGUUGGUAGCCAAAAAGCAACAAAUGAUUCAGGUGAUGAGCAUCCAUGUGAUACCGAAACCCAAGAAUUCCUUCGUUCAAAAAGGCAUCUUCCAUGGGAAACACCGCGGAGGAUCACUGCAACUUCUAGCCGUGUGGUUGUUGUAGACUUUUUCUUAUUUUCUUGAGUCUUCUUAUUUCUGAACUGCAAAUUGAUGGGUAUAAUUCGCAAGUAUUGAUAUCA